ACUCCUACGGGAGGCAGCAGUGGGGAAUAUUGCACAAUGGGCGCAAGCCUGAUGCAGCCAUGCCGCGUGUGUGAAGAAGGCCUUCGGGUUGUAAAGCACUUUCAGUCGUGAGGAAGGCGGGUACGUUAAUAGCGUAUUCGUUUGACGUUAGCGACAGAAGAAGCACCGGCUAACUCCGUGCCAGCAGCCGCGGUAAUACGGAGGGUGCGAGCGUUAAUCGGAAUUACUGGGCGUAAAGCGCAUGCAGGUGGUUUGUUAAGUCAGAUGUGAAAGCCCGGGGCUCAACCUCGGAAUAGCAUUUGAAACUGGCAGACUAGAGUACUGUAGAGGGGGGUAGAAUUUCAGGUGUAGCGGUGAAAUGCGUAGAGAUCUGAAGGAAUACCGGUGGCGAAGGCGGCCCCCUGGACAGAUACUGACACUCAGAUGCGAAAGCGUGGGGAGCAAACAGGAUUAGAUACCCUGGUAGGAUAGCG
rnacentral:rRNA from 1 species